rnacentral:tRNA from 1 species
GGGGUUGUGGCUCAGCGGUAGAGCGCUUGCCUAGCACUGGUGAGGCCCUGCUUUGAUCCUCAGCACCACAUAAACAACAACAAAUAAAAUAAAGAUUAAAUUCUUAAAAAAAAAAAAAAAAAAUCAGGGUCAAUCAACAAUUAGAAAAAAAUAUUUUUUAAAAAGAGUUCAAAGCCAACCUCA